GAUGAAGAACGUAGCGAAAUGCGAUACUUGGUGUGAAUUGCAGAAUCCCGUGAACCAUCGAGUCUUUGAACGCAAGUUGCGCCCGAAGCCAUUAGGCCGAGGGCACGCCUGCCUGGGCGUCACACGUCGUUGCCCCCCCAUCUACUCCUUCGGGAUUGCGGGGGGCGGAUGAUGGCCUCCCGUGCGCCUCGUCGCGCGGUUGGCCUAAAUGCCAAGUCCUCGGCGACGCACGCCACGACAAUCGGUGGUUGCGAAACCUCGGUUGCCUGUCGUGUGCGGUCGUCGCGCAUCGAGGGCUCGAAAAAAUUGCCGGGCUUCGGCUCGACUUUCAACGCGACCCCAGGUCAGGCGGGGUUACCCGCUGAAUUUAAGCAUAUCAAUAACGGAGGA
rnacentral:misc_RNA from 1 species